rnacentral:rRNA from 1 species
AUUGAACGCUGGCGGCAUGCCUUACACAUGCAAGUCGAACGCGAAAGCGGGGGCAACCCUGCGAGUAGAGUGGCGAACGGGUGAGUAACACAUCGGAACGUACCCAGGAGUGGGGGACAACCUCGAGAAAUCGAGGCUAAUACCGCAUACGUCCUGAGGGAGAAAGCGGGGGAUCGCAAGACCUCGCGCUCAUGGAGCGGCCGAUGUCCGAUUAGCUAGUUGGCGGGGUAAGAGCCCACCAAGGCGACGAUCGGUAGCUGGUUUGAGAGAACGACCAGCCACACUGGGACUGAGACACGGCCCAGACUCCUACGGGAGGCAGCAGUGGGGAAUUUUGGACAAUGGGGGCAACCCUGAUCCAGCCAUGCCGCGUGAGUGAAGAGGGCCUUCGGGUUGUAAAGCUCUUUCGGCCGGAACGAAAUCGGGUACGUGAAUAACGGAUCUGGAUGACGGUACUGGAAGAAGAAGCACCGGCUAACUACGUGCCAGCCGCCGCCGUAA